rnacentral:rRNA from 1 species
UACGUAGGGUGCAAGCGUUGUCCGGAAUUAUUGGGCGUAAAGAGCUCGUAGGCGGUCUGUCGCGUCGGCUGUGAAAACCCACAGCUCAACUGUGGGCUUGCAUUCGAUACGGGCAGGCUAGAGUUCGGUAGGGGAGACUGGAAUUCCUGGUGUAGCGGUGAAAUGCGCAGAUAUCAGGAGGAACACCGGUGGCGAAGGCGAGUCCCUGGACAGGUCCUGACGCUGAGGCACGAAAGCUAGGGGGAGCAAAACAGG